GCGGGAGUGCGCAUGCGCGGAGCGGUCCUUCGGCCCUGUCAGGUUCGGAGAGGGUUUGUUGUCUUCGUCGAAAGUCAGGGGAACGCGGCGGGCUGCUCCUGUGCUGAAGGCCGCUCCGUGGAGAUCCAGGUCCAGUUAUCAAAGCCUUGAUAUAAUUAAAUGAAUGUUGAGAUCUUCAGAAAAAAGACCAGGCAGAAACUGAAGAUGAUUUCCCCCCCAAGUGCCAUUCAUAACAUCAAGCACCAGAAAAAGAUGGUUCUUGCUGAAGAGGAAGUAUCAAAGACACCUGAAGAUUCUCAGCAAAGAAGUGCCAUACAUGACCUUCCAUGUAUUCGGUGGAGUUUUCUUAAAGAUAACACAGGAAUAUUAAGAAAACAAAAAUAAUGACCACAGAUGAAGUAAAUACCUUUAAACAAUGAAGUCGUUGAAAUGAUUCAAGAUUGUCCAUACCUUGGUUCAGUCAUUAAUCAGAAUGGAAACUGCAGUCAAGAAAUUGGAAGAAGACUAGGAUUUGGAAGGUUAGCUAUGAAGGAACGAGACAAGAUCCUGAAGUGUCAAGGUCUAUAAUUGAAUACUAAAGUUAUUAUUGUCCAGAUUUCUGUGUGUAGUUGUGAAAGCUGGACAGUGAAAAACGUUUUGGGCUUUUGAAGAAAUAAGUUUUAAGGCCCGUACAGACAGGCCAAAAUAAAGCUGCUUCAGGUGACUGAAGCACAUAUCUUAAGAGGCCAGAAGUGGACUGGAGCAUGGCUUUGGUGCGACUUCUGGCCUCUUAGGAUGCAUGCAACAUUUAAAUAGCAUGCUUCCAAAGUGACCCAAAACAGCUUUAUUUUUGGCCUGUCUGUUCAGGUCCUUAGUCUCCUUUCAUUCUUCCACUAUGAAUACACCCUUUCCAGACUUUUGUUAUGUUAAUGAUCUCAAGCACCUGAUUCUCUGGAGGCAAAAAAGGGAUCUCUCAGAAUCUAAAGUCUAAGAACAUCUAUAAUUUCAGAAGUUUGGUUUAAGAAAAGGUAAGUUAAAGAAAGGUUGAAGAACAAUUAAAAUGUUGAAUGUGUCUCCAUACUGUGUUCCUGGGUAUUAUUAAAUGGGAGCAAGAUGGGUUCAUGUUGACAUAACUUUUGUUUUACAGUAUUGGAUCACGUGUGUGUAUUCAUUCAUUACCACAAAUGUUGUCGAACACAUACGUGGAACAGAGAGACAAAUAGCAUGUGAUCUCAUUAGCUUUACACUGUGAUGUUCAGAGAUUUUAAAUGAAUAGGUAAGGAAGGUUGGGUGCAGAGCACUGUGGUUAGAUAUCUGAUUAUUUAAAUGAGAUUUUAGAUAUUGAGGUAUGUGCUGUACCCAGAGCUAGAACAUAAUAUAUUGCCAUUACUAUUCUUAAUGGGUACAUAAUACAAGUAAUUCAAGAUUUAGGUCUGUCAGUUUCAUGUUAAAAGACUGAAGUGGGGGUGUUGGUCAUUGUUAAAAUGUUAUUUGACAUGCUAAUUUCGCUGGUUUCUAAUUUAAAGGUGAGAGUGAAUCUUUCAAAAUUAGAAUUGGAAAACAGUUAAUCUGAUGUCAGGAUUGAAAAACUACCAUGGUGGAUAAAAGUUGCAUUUAAA